UGGGCAACCUGCCCUCAGCUCUGGGAUAACUCCGGGAAACCGGGGCUAAUACCGGAUACGACCUUCCCUCGCAUGGGGGUUUGGUGGAAAGUUCUUCGGCUGAGGAUGGGCCCGCGGCCUAUCAGCUUGUUGGUGGGGUNAUGGCCUACCAAGGCGACGACGGGUAGCCGGCCUGAGAGGGUGACCGGCCACACUGGGACUGAGACACCGGCCCAGACUCCGUACGGGAGCA
rnacentral:rRNA from 1 species